GGAGAGAUGGCCGAGU
rnacentral:sRNA from 1 species